CUAAAAGGCUAGUCAGUUGUGCGCGGAAUGCUAUGGUUCAAGUCGUUAUCCUGAUGUAUUGGGCGUAAAGCGAGUGCGUACGUGUAUGUAAGUCUUAAGAUAAAGCCCUCAGCUCAACUGAGUAAUGUCUUUUGAAACUGUAUGACUGGAGUGCAGUAGAGGAAAGUGGAACUCCAUGUGUAGCGGUGAAAUGCGUAGGUAGAUGGAAGAACACCAGUGGCGAAGGCGGCUGUCUGGACUGUAACUGACGUUGAGGCUCGAAAGUGUGGGUAGCAAACAGGAUUAGAUACCCGGGUAGUC
rnacentral:rRNA from 1 species